rnacentral:rRNA from 1 species
UACGAAGGGUGCGAGCGUUAUUCGGAAUCACUGGGCGUAAAGAGUGCGUAGACGGUAUGUUAAGUUUGUCGUUAAAGACUCUGGCCUAACCAGAGGGUUGCGAUGAAAACUGGCAAGCUAGAGGGUGAGAGAGAGAAGUGGAAUUCCCGGAGUAGCGGUAAAAUGCGUGGAUCUCGGGAGGAACACCAAUGGCGAAGGCAGCUUCUUGGCUCAUUCCUGACGUUGAGGCACGAAAGCGUGGGGAGCGAACAGG